UGCCGCGUGAGUGAUGAAGGUUUUCGGAUCGUAAAGCUCUGUUGCCAGGGAAGAACGCUUGGGAGAGUAACUGCUCUCAAGGUGACGGUACCUGAGAAGAAAGCCCCGGCUAACUACGUGCCAGCAGCCGCGGUAAUACGUAGGGGGCAAGCGUUGUCCGGAAUUAUUGGGCGUAAAGCGCGCGCAGGCGGUCAUUUAAGUCUGGUGUUUAAUCCCGGGGCUCAACCCCGGAUCGCACUGGAAACUGGGUGACUUGAGUGCAGAAGAGGAGAGUGGAAUUCCACGUGUAGCGGUGAAAUGCGUAGAUAUGUGGAGGAACACCAGUGGCGAAGGCGACUCUCUGGGCUGUAACUGACGCUGAGGCGCGAAAGCGUGGGGAGCAAACAGGAUUAGAUACCCUG
rnacentral:rRNA from 1 species